rnacentral:rRNA from 1 species
GACGAAGGGGGCAAGCGUUGUCCGGAAUCAUUGGGCGUAAAGCGCGCGUAGGCGGCCCGGUAAGUCCGCUCUGAAAGUCCAGGGCUCAACCCUGGAAAGCGGGUGGAUACUGCCGGGCUAGAAUCCGGAAGAGGCGAGUGGAAUUCCUGGUGUAGCGGUGGAAUGCGCAGAUAUCAGGAGGAACACCAAUAGCGAAGGCAGCUCGCUGGGACGGUAUUGACGCUAAGGCGCGAAAGCGUGGGAGCAAACAGG